AAUUGAUUUCCCUAAAACCCUGUGCGCCAGAAGACAUUAGUCAGCGUUGUGUGGAAGCCAAUGCCGUACAUAAGAAAAGGCCCCACGAAGGGACUGUAGACGCAAGAGCAAGUCUGGCAGCAGCAUCUGUGGAGAGCACGCCCUGGGGAUUCUAGUGUCACAGAUGCAGUUAAGAGCCAUGUGAAUGGAGUGGCUCUCCCUGACUGCAGGCUGUGGGUCUGCCAUGAUUAGACCUUUAGGUGUUGUCUGUUGAACGAAAGCUGGGUUCUGAGGUGCUCAGAAGGACCGGGUAAAGAACUGAUUUAAUUUGCCAGCCUCUAAUGACAAAAAUUAAUUCUCCAAUCAGUCUGUGCUGUUUUUGGUUUGCUGAUAUGUUUCCCUCUGAUUGUGUCAGUAUUAAUUGUGUCUUUCAUUUUGCAUUUCAGCUUGCCCCAAAGCAGCACACUUGUUCACCAGUAAUAUGUGCAGCUAUUAAGUCUAGCUGAAGAUGAAAUUGAAUUAUUUUAGUCAUUCCUCUCUCUGUCACUGUACCAGUGUCACACACAUGCACACUGCUUUCUGUGAUUUCAUCAUACUAUUUCUAAGCUACAUAGCUGAUGUGAAAAUCUAACUGAAAUGGCAAUUAUUUAAUUAUUUUUAUUCAUUGUUUUAUGUUUGUAAAAACAUUGGAGACAUGAUGUAACACUAAUGUUAAAUGCAGACUCAUGGUUUGCUUUAAUUACUAAUAAACUACUCUGAUUCUA